UACGGAGGAGGCAAGCGUUAUCCGGAAUUAUUGGGCGUAAAGCGUCCGCAGGUGGCACUUCAAGUCUGUCGUCAAAGACUGGGGCUUAACCCCGGAAAGGCGGUGGAAACUGAAGCGCUAGAGUGCGGUAGGGGUAGAGGGAAUUCCCGGUGUAGCGGUGAAAUGCGUAGAGAUCGGGAAGAACAUCGGUGGCGAAAGCGCUCUACUGGACCGCAACUGACACUCAGGGACGAAAGCUAGGGGAGUGAAUGGG
rnacentral:rRNA from 1 species